GGGCCCGUAGCUCAGCUAGGUUAGAGCGACAGGCUCAUAAUCGAACGUAAUGAGAGACCUGUUGGCCGGGUGUUCAAGUCGCCCCGGGCCCA
rnacentral:tRNA from 1 species